rnacentral:rRNA from 1 species
AUACGUAGGGUGCAAGCGUUAAUCGGAAUUACUGGGCGUAAAGCGUGCGCAGGCGGCUUUGUAAGACAGUGGUGAAAUCCCCGGGCUCAACCUGGGAACUGCCAUUGUGACUGCAAGGCUGGAGUGCGGCAGAGGGGGAUGGAAUUCCGCGUGUAGCAGUGAAAUGCGUAGAUAUGCGGAGGAACACCGAUGGCGAAGGCAAUCCCCUGGGCCUGCACUGACGCUCAUGCACGAAAGCGUGGGGAGCAAACAGGAUUAGAUACCCUGGUAGUCCACGCCCUAAACGAUGUCAACUGGUUGUUGGGGAUUUAUUUUCUCAGUAACGAAGCUAACGCGUGAAGUUGACCGCCUGGGGAGUACGGCCGCAAGGUUAAAACUCAAAUGAAUUGACGGGG